UACGGGGGGGAGCAAGCGUUGUUCGGAUUUACUGGGCGUAAAGGGCGCGUAGGCGGCCUCUGCAAGUCGACUGUGAAAUCUCCGGGCUUAACCCGGAACGGUCCAGCCGAUACUGCAGGGCUAGAGUGCAGAAGGGGCAACCGGAAUUCUCGGUGUAGCGGUGAAAUGCGUAGAUAUCGAGAGGAACACCUGCGGCGAAGGCGGGUUGCUGGGCUGACACUGACGCUGAGGCGCGAAAGCUAGGGGAGCGAACGGG
rnacentral:rRNA from 1 species